GGGGGUAUAGCUUAGGGGUAGAGCAUGUGCCUAGUACACACGAGGCUCUGGGUUCAAUCCCCAGUACUGUCA